GGGCGCACGGGCCCUCGGCGGGGCCGGCCUCGUGAUGACCGAGAUGGCGUGCGUCAGCGAGGAGGGCCGGAUCACCCCCGGCUGCGCCGGCC
rnacentral:tRNA from 1 species